GAUGAACGCUGGCGGCGUGCCUAAUACAUGCAAGUAGAACGCUGAAGCUUGGUGCUUGCACCGAGCGGAUGAGUUGCGAACGGGUGAGUAACGCGUAGGUAACCUGCCUCUUAGCGGGGGAUAACUAUUGGAAACGAUAGCUAAUACCGCAUAAAAGUCGAUAUCGCAUGAUAUUGAUUUGAAAGGUGCAAUUGCAUCACUAAGAGAUGGACCUGCGUUGUAUUAGCUAGUUGGUGAGGUAACGGCUCACCAAGGCGACGAUACAUAGCCGACCUGAGAGGGUGAUCGGCCACACUGGGACUGAGACACGGCCCAGACUCCUACGGGAGGCAGCAGUAGGGAAUCUUCGGCAAUGGGGGCAACCCUGACCGAUGCAACGCCGCGUGAUGUGAAGAUAGGUUUUCGGAUCGUAAAUGCUCUGUUGUAUAUGAGAAGAACGAUGUGUGAUGAUGUGGAAAGUUCAC
rnacentral:rRNA from 1 species